UCGUUACAUACAAUCCCACACAGCACAUGACGUCCCUGGGAUAUCCUCAUUUAGUCCUAUAUAUCCUAAUCGGGGAUCUCACUCCUCAGGAUAUCCUGAUGAUAUUUAAAUAAGACAAGUAGAUCCUAUCAAUAUCCUAGUUGGGGAUAUCCCAGGUAAAUCCAAACAGGAUGUCCUGGAAAUAUCCUAUGAAGAUAUUAAAAGCCGAAUAAUCUCCAAUUUUGGGAUAUCCUAGGCAAAUUCUAGAGUGAUCCCAUCCUGGGAUGGUUCUUGGCUUUGCACAGUGCAUGGUGCAUGCGCAGUAUGACAUAUUGACGACAUGACCCGUAUCUCGCCAUUUUCUGUGUUUCUUUGUUUUAUAAGUGCGUGACUCAAUGACGUUUUUAUUAAUUUGAAAAGUGGAAAAUGAAAUUUAAAGCUUGUUAAAAUAGUUAAGUGACGUGCAUCAACCACCUGCUGGCAGAACUGGAAUUUCACAAGCACAUUGCACAAAAAAUUGCCCAGAAAAAGAUAAUGGGGAGGGCAUUAAAACAUGUCGCGGCAUGCAAAUGAGAGACUA